UUAGUCAGUGAAGAGUUCAAACAUUCCAGUCUCGUGUUCAAACAGACAAACUACGACGGAAAUGGAGAACAACUCAGAGAUCUUGAGGGAAAUGAAUACACAGCUGGAUAAGUUAAAUGAUUAUAUGAAUGAUAUAAGAUUCAUCUUGGAAGCUGGAAACAUAAUGGCUAGUGAAGAUGAUGUAGUUCAUGCAAUAAUCUGGAGAGCAGCAGAGGACAUUGAUAAACUGCACCAGCUGGACAUCACCGUGAUGGACGAGAAUUCAAUUACAAAAAUUGAAGUGUUAGAGACAUUAAUUGAAGAGGGCAAUUUAAGUUUAAAUUUGAGACUCAAUAGAGCACUGAAGGCCAAGCAAAAAUUAGAAAAGCUUGACGACCAGAUCAAAAAUGUACAGAAAGCGGUAAUGAAACUGAUGAAAGAUACUCAGACAGAGAGAGAAAAGGAGGAGAAGGACAUGACCAAAAAACCACAGAUGGAUGAAGAAAAGGAGAUGAAAAUAGAUAGAAAGUUGGACAAGUUAAUUGAUGGCAUCUUUGAAAUUAGGUUCAUUUUAAAAAAUCAACACAACAUGUCAGCUGAAAAUUUAGCACAAGGGCUUCAAAAUCACCAUUCAGAUGACAAUUUUCAUAUGGAAACUAUAAAUUCAAGACUAUGUAGAGCAUUGUAUUACAUACACAAGCUGCAGCAGCUGGACUCCAAAUUGAUAUAUAUGGACAAAGACAAAAUGAGAAAAAUUGAACUACUUCACAAAAUGUUGGAAGAGGCCAGUGUAAGUUUAAAACUUAGAAUUGAUAGAACAAUUGAAAUCAUAGACACAAUGCUGCAGCUGGAAAGUCAGAUAGACAAUUUAGGAAAAGAAGUGACGAUAGUCAAGAAAGAGUUGCAGAUGGCAAAACAGAAGGAGGUGAAGGAAAUCAACGAGGCAGAAAUGAAAGCAAAUCAAGACAAGAAAAAAGAAUCGAGCAAAUUCCUAAAGCAUGUGACUAUAGGAAUUGGAGCAGCUUUAGGGGCAGGUUUACUAAUUGCGGGCGGAAUUUGGAUCUGGAAAGCGUUUGGAAAAUGAACCUUGAUUAUAUUUAGAGAAAAGGCAAUUUAAACCACACCAGUUUGACAGUCUUGUUUACGACCAACCAGACAUCCUGCACCAGGUAGGGGCGGGCCCAGGUACUCCCAGGGGCCCGGCUGGGCCCUUGGAACCGUACCCUGGAGCCCCAAGUCCGAGAUCCAGGACCUCUGUAUUUUGAGUAUGGUCUUGGGGUACGCCCUGUUCCUCGGGUGCCAGGGAGCUGGCACCAGGCAGGGCGGGUCCAGGUACUCCCAGGGGCCCGGCAGAGCUGGAAGAGUGCAACCCGGAAGCGAAGGACGUCAUUCUGAACCUCAUAAAACAACAGAGAAAACUACAAGAGAAGCUAAAGGAACUGGAAGGACAUGGCAGGCGCUGCGACAUGAGGAUUUACAACGUAGCUGAGCAAGACGGUGAAUUAGUCCAAGAAAUGGUGGAGAAGCUAUUACAUCGUGAGCUAGCCAGAUCCAGAAGCCUCGGAAAGAAACCACCACCCGAAGCUAAUCCCAGAUCCAUAGUGGUUAAUUUUUUCAAAUACAAGACCAAAGAAGAAAUCCUGACAAAAGCAUGGAAAAGGAAAAUCCAAGUCGAGGGGAAGCGGAUAUUUUUUGACCAUGACUACCCCACCGAGGUAACAGAAAAACGCAAAUCCUACUCGGAGAUUAAAAAGGUUCUGAAAGACCAAAAGAUCCUCUUCCAGACCCCAAUGACUAAAAUACGGAUCCACUGGAUGGGAUCAAGACUUACAACAGCGCGGAGGAGGCUGCGGCGGACAUGAGGAGACGAGGGCUGGGGAAGGAGAACGGGAACGACGCAGGCCCCUCGCCCGAGGAGAGGAUCCAGGCGGAGGCACCCUGGCAGCGCAUCGGGAAGAGAAACAAGGGAUGGAAGAAGGAUCCUCCGCUGUGGGCGCGGAUCAGAACGCGAGGAGCCGAGCGAAGGAACGGCUACAGGUGUGGGGAGCAAACAAAGAAAACAAGACGGGUAGAGGGAAGAAUGGAAGUAAUAGUCAUCUGUCUCAAUCAUGGUUCUCCUGGGCUCCAUCUUUCACACUCGUCCUUCCCCAGCCCCCCAACCACAAUCGUUCUCAUCUCUCGAUUGUGAAGUAGGCGGAAACAGAAUCCCGUGCUUGACGGACAGCUCCUGAGUGCCGACAUCUCCUCGUGGUCGACCUUAUUGGUGGAUGUGCUUUGCAGAGAUGAGUGGCAGCUGGCUUUAUCUGGCUGCACUCUUCACCCUCAGAGUGUUUAAUGAAGGUGUGUGUUCAUGUAGAUUAAAGACCAGGCCAAUUUGAGCAAGCAUGAAAAGCAGACGCAGAAUUAAAAACCUCAAUCUUUAUAUAAGCUGCUGUCAAACUGAUUUAUAUCGGUUGAAAAAAAAACAUGUGUAAA